AUCAGCGGCCGCGGUGCAUCCACUUGCCGGGAGGAACCAAGCUAAGGUCUCUGGUGACUGCUGGCCUGGAUAUGGACCCUGAGACCUGCCCCUGUCCUACUGGUGGUUCCUGCACCUGUUCGGACAAAUGCAAGUGCAAGGGCUGCAAAUGCACCAACUGCAAGAAGAGCUGCUGCUCCUGCUGCCCUGCAGGAUGUGAGAAGUGUGCCAAGGACUGUGUGUGCAAAGGUGAAGAGGGGGCCAAGGCAGAAGUGGAGAAAUGCAGCUGCUGCCAGUGAGAACUCAGUCCCUCCCACACAGCCUAUGCAGAUAGUGCUGGGG